UUAUAAUGAAAUUUAUGUCAACAGGUCGUCAUUCCUCGUUUGGCGAAUCUGCACUUGUCCUGCAUUAACAUUCAUGAGAUAUGGCACCACCCCUCUUCCCAAUCUGUCGGAUGCCUAAAACACUUGCAAGUGAAGAGGUGUCACAAUUUGAAAUACCUGUUCCCGUCUUUCUUGGUAAAAGAUCUUGUGCAACUCCGACGCCUUAAAAUUUUGGAAUGUAAUAUGAUGGAACAAGUAAUAUUCACGGAUGGAUUGGUUGAGGAACAUCAAGGGAGGAAUCGGAUGUUUUUCUCUAAUCUACAGUUGCUGUGGCUAAAAGACCUUCCCAAGCUCACAAGGUUGUGCUUUGAAAAUUACUUUGAAUUCCAAUGUUUGACAGAUUUAGAACUAACAAAUUGUCCAUUGCUAAAAACAUUCAUCACUAAAUAUGUAUCGGAAGAUGAACCUGAAAUUGGCCAACAUGUACAAGCAAGUAACUUGGAGGUUCAUAACUCAUCUCUCCUCAAUGAAAAGGUUGUUUUCCCUAGUUUGGAGAAGUUGCGGAUUCAGAAUUGUGAUUCGUUAGAACAAAUUAUUGAGCUGCAAGGAGUCAUUGCUGAUGAGUCACAGUCAACAUCAGCUGCUCAAUCUACUAUGGCUGAAACAGAGACGACCAAGUUUGUAUUUCCCAGACUAAUAAACCUUGGAUUGGAUAAGGUGCCGAGAAUGAAAAAAAAAUUUCUACUCUAGGAUGCAUACCACCCAGUGGCCUUCAUUGAAAAAAAUGGACAUUAUUGAAUGCCCCAAAGUGCAGAUAUUUACUCCACAAUGUCCUGAGAGUCAGGUUGGAAUCUCAAACCAACAACCCUUGUUUUUGCGUCAAUGAGGACACUUUCCCUGUAUUAGAAGAACUAACAGUGAAGACGAAUGAUAUGGUGAAGGGGAUAUGCGAUGGACAACUCUCAUUGCAGUGUUUCCAAAACCUUAAACAUCUUAACCUCCAAUUCUUUCCUGAGGCAUCCACUACUCUUCCAUAUUCCUUCAUUCGGUCACUACCAAUGCUUCAUAAGCUUGUUAUAGUCAAUGCUUCCAUUUGUCAAAUAGUACAAUCUGAAGGACUCAGCAACCAGGAAAGGCAUACAUCAGCAUUCUAUCAUCUAAAGGAAUUAAGUUUGUCCCAACUUCCAGGGUUAACGUUUAAGACUUUUGAACCGUUUUUGCUGUCUUUCAAAAAUCUAACAACACUGGAAGUUUCAAGAUGCCAUGGGUUCAUCAACUUAAUCGCAUGCUCAACAGCUAAGUGCCUGACGCUUCUGGAAAGAUUGAGCAUAGAUGAUUGUGAGAUGAUAGAGGAAAUCAUAGCGUGUGAGGUUGAAGAAAUACAAGGCGGCAUUGUAUUUCCCAAACUGAAGUGUUUGCAACUAAGCUGUCUGCCAUGUCUAGCAAGCUUUUCCUUGGCCCAUCACUCGUUGGAAUUCCCAGUCUUGCUAAUGGUGAAGGUGACAAAGUGCCCCAAAAUGAGGAAUUUCUGCCAAGGAGAUUUAAGCGCACCAAGGCUGGAACAAAUGCACUUAACAAGAGAUGAGGAAGGUGAACUGCAGUGGGAAGGCGACCUUAACACUACCAUAGAACAUAUGUUCGAUGAAAUGAAUGCGCAAAAUUCUGAUGUGACGGAGGUUACUGAUCAGUUGCCCAAGUUGGAAUAAGGAAAUAUGUUUGAGUGCUUAUGCGGAAAGCUCAAUUUCGUUUGAAUUCAAAACAAAUGGUUGAGUUGCUCUACUGAAGCACCUGGCUGCAACUGUUCUCUUUCACAUCCAAACCUCAAUAUUGAAUUUCAAGUGCAUCAUGCAUAGCAUUGGGAACUACAAACAUCUCCAUUUGGUCAACUCUCAAGCUCAAGUGUUGCUUGAGUCUGCUGAUCUACAGGAUGCUGUAUUUCAUCUUCAAUUUUAGUGUCAACAAAGGUUUGAGAAGGUUGAUGGUCAUCCCAAUUCGAAGUCCCCGACCAGAUCCAUGAACACUUUUGUAUAAAAAGAAUAUAGUUGAAUUGACGUAGUUUAGUUCCACAAGUUCAAACUUCAAAUUAAUACGAGUGUAUUGUUAAAAGUUUUCGUCUUCUGCAUUACUUGUUAGUUUAUGUCUUUUAAUUCAUUGAGAAGUAACAAGCAUGUAUGGAUGUCAAUGUCCUACCAUAAUUGUCUUCUAAAGAACUUUAUAAGGAAAGCUAUGCCACUCUAUUCUUUAA